UACGUAGGGGGCAAGCGUUGUCCGGAAUCAUUGGGCGUAAAGAGCGCGUAGGCGGCCCAGUAAGUCCGCUGUGAAAGUCGGGGGCUCAACCCUCGGAUGCCGGUGGAUACUGUCGGGCUUGAGUACGGAAGAGGCGAGUGGAAUUCCUGGUGUAGCGGUGAAAUGCGCAGAUAUCAGGAGGAACACCAAUUGCGAAGGCAGCUCGCUGGGACGUUACUGACGCUGAGACGCGAAAGCGUGGGGAGCGAACAGG
rnacentral:rRNA from 1 species